rnacentral:rRNA from 1 species
AACGAACGCUGGCGGCAGGCUUAACACAUGCAAGUCGAACGGGUGUAGCAAUACAUCAGUGGCGCACGGGUGAGUAACGCGUGGGAAUAUGCCCUUUGGAACGGAACAACCUCGGGAAACUGAGGCUAAUACCGUAUAAUAUCUGCGGAUCAAAGAUUUAUCGCCAAAGGAUUAGCCCGCGUUGGAUUAGGUAGUUGGUGAGGUAACGGCUCACCAAGGCGACGAUCCAUAGCUGGUCUGAGAGGAUGAUCAGCCACACUGGGACUGAGACACGGCCCAGACUCCUACGGGAGGCAGCAGUGAGGAAUAUUGGACAAUGGAGGAAACUCUGAUCCAGCCAUGCCGCGUGAGUGAUGAGGGCCUUCGGGUUGUAAAGCUCUUUUACCCCUGACGAUAAUGACGGUAAGGGGAGAAAAAGCCACGGCUAACUUCGUGCCAGCAGCCGCAGUAA